rnacentral:rRNA from 1 species
AGAGUUUGAUCAUGGCUCAGAUUGAACGCUGGCGGUAGGCUUAACACAUGCAAGUCGUGCGAGAAAGUAUCUUCGGAUAUGAGUAGAGCGGCGGACGGGUGAGUAACGCGUAGGAAUCUACCUAGUAGAAGGGGAUAGCCCGGGGAAACCCGGAUUAAUACCGUAUACCUCCUUCGGGAGAAAGAAGGCCUCUCUUUGAAGCUUUCGCUACUAGAUGAGCCUGCGUAAGAUUAGCUUGUUGGUGAGGUAAAGGCUCACCAAGGCAACGAUCUUUAGCUGGUCUGAGAGGACGAUCAGCCACAUUGGGACUGAGACACGGCCCAGACUCCUACGGGAGGCAGCAGUGGGGAAUAUUGGACAAUGGGCGCAAGCCUGAUCCAGCCAUACCGCGUGUGUGAAGAAGGCCUUCGGGUUGUAAAGCACUUUAAGCAGGGAGAAAAAGUUAUAAGCUAAUACCUUAUAACCUUGAUGUUACCUGCAGAAUAAGCACCGGCUAAUUCCGUGCCAGCAGCCGCGGUAAUACGGAAGGUGCAAGCGUUAAUCGGAAUUACUGGGCGUAAAGCGCGCGUAGGUGGUUUGUUAAGUUGGAUGUGAAAGCCCUGGGCUCAACCUAGGAACUGCAUCCAAAACUAACUCACUAGAGUACGAUAGAGGGAGGUAGAAUUCAUAGUGUAGCGGUGGAAUGCGUAGAUAUUAUGAAGAAUACCAGUGGCGAAGGCGGCCUCCUGGAUCUGUACUGACACUGAGGUGCGAAAGCGUGGGUAGCGAACAGGAUUAGAUACCCUGGUAGUCCACGCC